rnacentral:tRNA from 1 species
UAGCUCAGUUGGAAGAGCAUUGGGCUAGUAUUCCAAAGGUCGUAGGUUCGAAUCCC